AUGAGCAUAUCAAAACCCAAGAACCAAGAGCACCUUCCUCAUUCACGCCAUUCCUUCUAAAAUUGGCAGAGUUCUUGGUCUUCUUUCUUAUUCAAUCCAUUGAUUUUCGAGUAAACCAAGUUCCAUGGAAGCCUUACUCUUCUUGUUGAUUGUUGGUGUAAACAAACUAAGGAGGCGACAUCAUUAAGGAACCCUUCUGGUGAUCGCGAAGAACCAAAUUUAACUACUUGAAGCGUUCUUGAUCGGAACUAGUUGAAAAUAAUGGAUUAGCGGAGGUGAUUAGAGGUUCCAAGGAUGUAUAUAGAGCUGAGCACGUAGGAA